rnacentral:rRNA from 1 species
CCCGCACAAGCAGCGGAGCGUGUGGUUUAAUUCGAUGUUACACGAAGAACCUUACCAGGGUUUGACAUGCAAGUGGUAGGAAGCCGAAAGGUGACCGACCUUCGGGAGCUUGCACAGGUGCUGCAUGGCCGUCGUCAGCUCGUGUCGUGAGAUGUUGGGUUAAGUCCGCUAACGAGCGCAACCCGCGUUGUGUGUUAUAUGUGUCACACAAUACCGCCGGUAUUAAGCCGGAGGAAGGUGCGGAUGACGUCAAGUCAGCAUGACCUUUAUAUCCAGGGCUACACACACGCUACAAUGGACAGUACAACAGGUUGCCAAGCCGCGAGGCGGAGCCAAUCCUCUAAAGCUGUCCUCAGUUCAGAUUGCAGGCUGCAACUCGCCUGCAUGAAGUUGGAGUUGCUAGUAACCGCAGGUCAGCUAUACUGCGGUGAAUACGUUCCCGGGGAUU